CAGCACGUAGCUAAAUGCAUAGCACCUCCCUUACACUGAGGAAUUGCCCGUUAGAACCGGGUCGCACUGA
rnacentral:tRNA from 1 species